GACGAACGCUGGCGGCGUGCUUAACACAUGCAAGUCGAACGGUGAAGGGACCGGUUUUUGCUGGUUCUGGAUGAGUGGCGAACGGGUGAGUAACACGUGAGUAGCCUGCCCCCUUCUUCUGGAUAACCGCAUGAAAGUGUGGCUAAUACGGGAUAUUCUGCGCCUGCUGCAUGGUGGGUGUGGGAAAGAUAUUGUUUCGGUGGGGGAUGGGCUCGCGGCCUAUCAGCUUGUUGGUGGGGUGAUGGCCUACCAAGGCGGUGACGGGUAGCCGGCCUGAGAGGGUGGACGGUCACACUGGGACUGAGACACGGCCCAGACUCCUACGGGAGGCAGCAGUGGGGAAUAUUGCACAAUGGGCGCAAGCCUGAUGCAGCGACGCCGCGUGAGGGAUGGAGGCCUUCGGGUUGUAAACCUCUUUCGCCAGUGAAGCAGGCCUGUCCCUUGUGUGGGUGGGUUGACGGUAGCUGGAUAAGAAGCGCCGGCUAACUACGUG
rnacentral:rRNA from 1 species